CUUUUCUCACUCUCCCUCUCUUUGUUCCUCUAAAAAACGAGGAAGAGGGAGAACAAAGAAUUUGCCAUCAAAAGAGAGAGAGGGAGAGAAAUUUGCCAUUUAUAUAUGCUUAUAAAUUUGGGAGAUUAAGUUUAAUAUUUUAGAAUGGCAUUGAUUGUUAGGGACCAUUUGAAUGGUGUCAAAUUUUGCGAAGUUGGUACGCGAAUUGUGGUC
rnacentral:lncRNA from 1 species